rnacentral:sRNA from 1 species
GGGAAGGGGUGACUAGUGACAGAGUGAGGGAAGGGGUGACUUGUGGCAGAGUGAGGGAAGGAAGGCGUGACUAGUAACAGAGUGAGGGAGGUGGUGACUGUCACUAGUCACCAGCUCCCUCACUCUGUCACUAGUCACCACCUCCCUCUGUCACUACUCCCUCCCUCCUUCUGUCACUAGUCACCCCCUCCCUCACUCUGUCACCAGUCAUCCCCUCCCUCUGUCACUAGUCACCCCCUCACUC